AUGAUAUUUUUUAGAAAAUUGGUUGAAGCAGAUCCAUCGAUAAAGGUGAAGUCUAUUAUUGCAGAAGUUCAAUCUAGGUUCAACUACACUGUUAGUUACCGCAAGGCUUGGUUGGCAAAGUAGAAAUCUAU